AUGGACGACCACCUGGCCCCCCGGGUCCUUGCUAACAGACCCCAUAGAUCAAACCCAAUGGGCCCCAUAGAUCCAACCAAGAGAACUGAGAUCACCCCACAGAUCCCACCCCAUGGGCCCCACAGAUCCAAUCCCACGGACCCCAUACAUCCAAGCAAGAGACCUGGGAUCACCCCACAGAUCCAACCCCACGGGCCCCACAGAUCCAAGCAAGAGACCUGGGAACAAUCACCCCACAGAUCCCACUCCAAGGGCCCCAUAGAUCCUAUCCUAAUGGACCCCGCAGAUCCAACCCCAUUGGGCCCCACAGAAUCCUACCCUAAAAGGCCCCACAGAUGGACACCCACUGGGCCCCACAGAUCCAACAGAACUGAGAUCACCCCACAGAUCCCACCCCGGGGGCCCCACAGAUGCUACCCUGAAAGACCCCAGAGACAGACGCCCCACGGGCCCCACAGAUCCAAGCAAGAGACCCGGGAACAAUCACCCCACAGCUCCCACCCCACGGGCCCCACAGAUCUUAUCCUAACCAACAAUCCCACAGCUCCCACCCCACGGGCCCCACAGAUCUUAUCCUAACCGACCGCCCCACAGAUCGAACCCAGCGGGCCCCGCUGAUCCAACCCCCCCCCACCGCGCCCCACAGAUGGCACCCGACGCGCCCUAGGGCUCCUGCGCCCCACACAUCCUCGCCUGCUACGGCCGCAAGCCGCGGCGCCCCACACCGCCCCCCAAGCGCAGCUCACCUGUGGGGCCCCCGG
rnacentral:lncRNA from 1 species